rnacentral:rRNA from 1 species
UACGUAGGGUGCGAGCGUUGCUCGGAAUCACUGGGCGUAAAGGGCGCGUAGGCGGGGAGGUAAGUCGGGUGUGAAAUCCCUCGGCCCAACCGAGGAACUGCGCCCGAGACUGCUUCUCUUGAGUCCCGGAGAGGAAGGUGGAAUUCCCGGUGUAGCGGUGAAAUGUGUAGAGAUCGGGAGGAACACCGGUGGCGAAGGCGGCCUUCUGGACGGUGACUGACGCUGAGGCGCGAAAGCUAGGGGAGCAAACAGG